CUAACUUGUAAGCAUUAUGGAAUGUUAGUCACUUGCUUAAAAACUGAGUUGUUCCAGAUUUAUCUUGAAGACCAUUUUAAAGAAUCAAUGCUCAGCUAUCAUCUUUAUAGACGAAAAAGUUGGAAUGGUUUCUCCUCUUAAUGAAUUGGUAGCGUUCAGUGAAAAAUUGUUUCCAGUUCUCCUCCUGAAUCUGAAGCAUCUGGCACUAUCUGACUUACUAGAGGCCAAGCACUGGAAGUGCAGUGACUAAUUCUAUAUCUUGAUGUUCAUCACAUGCAUCCUCC
rnacentral:lncRNA from 1 species